GAUGAAGAACGUAGCGAAAUGCGAUAAGUAAUGUGAAUUGCAGAAUUCAGUGAAUCAUCGAAUCUUUGAACGCUCAUUGCGCCCCUUGGUAUUCCGAGGGGCAUGCCUGUUCGAGCGUCAUUAUAACCCCUCAAGCUUAGCUUGGUGUUGGGGCCUGCUGUAAUAGAGCAGCCCUUAAAAUCAGUGGCGGUGCCAUUAGGCUCUAAGCGUAGUAAUUCUUCUCGCUAUAGGGUUCUGGUGGAUGCUUGCCAUUAACCUCUAAUUUUCUAUGGUUGACCUCGGAUCAGGUAGGGAUACCCGCUGAACUUAAGCAUAUCAAUAAGCGGAGA
rnacentral:misc_RNA from 1 species